rnacentral:rRNA from 1 species
GUACACUCCUGCGGGAGGCAGCAGUGGGGAAUAUUGCACAAUGGGCGCAAGCCUGAUGCAGCCAUGCCGCGUGUAUGAAGAAGGCCUUCGGGUUGUAAAGUACUUUCAGCGGGGAGGAAGGCAAUACGGUUAAUAACCGUGUUGAUUGACGUUACCCGCAGAAGAAGCACCGGCUAACUCCGUGCCAGCAGCCGCGGUAAUACGGAGGGUGCAAGCGUUAAUCGGAAUUACUGGGCGUAAAGCGCACGCAGGCGGUCUGUCAAGUCGGAUGUGAAAUCCCCGGGCUCAACCUGGGAACUGCAUUCGAAACUGGCAGGCUUGAGUCUUGUAGAGGGGGGUAGAAUUCCAGGUGUAGCGGUGAAAUGCGUAGAGAUCUGGAGGAAUACCGGUGGCGAAGGCGGCCCCCUGGACAAAGACUGACGCUCAGGUGCGAAAGCGUGGGGAGCAAACAGGAUUAGAUACCCCUGUAGUCCCA